rnacentral:lncRNA from 1 species
UAGGGGCAAUUCGGUCAUUUUAUGUCAUUCGAAGAGCUGCUUUUAGUUUAUGUUUGGAAUAGAGAACUAUUUUUAAUCGAAACUCAAUGGAAAAACUGCUUUUAAUUUGAAACUCAAAUGGAGAGUUUUCAUUAGUUUACCCUAUAUGUAAUGAUAAAUAAACAAAAUUGUAUACAAUAAUUGCUUGCAUGGGCUGUUGGAUUCCAAAUUUUGAUCUAACCUUUUUACAUUGAAUUCCAUAGGGUCCUAGACUAUCAUGCCUCAAAAUGGGUUCGAUGUCCAUGCUGUCUACUUUAGAAUUAAUUUUCAAAAAUUGAAGCAAGUCAUGCUCUAC